AAACAAUAGAGAUACAAUACAAAAAUUAAAAUAUGAAAAUAAUAAAAACAACAACAUACAACACAUAUUUUUUACUUAUACUUAUACCUCAAACACAUCGCGAGUACACUUCUCCGACAUCCUCUAAAGCUCUUCCUCCUUCGACUUCUUUCGCUCCUCCUCGACCAACCUCUCUCGCUUCUCUUGAUCCUUUUGGACAGUCUCUCGCACCU
rnacentral:lncRNA from 1 species